ACAUCGCGUCGCCACACCUCGGCUCUCCUCCGCUCUCCCAUCUGACCCCCCUCCUGCCUACCGCCUCCUCUCUCCUCGUCCGCUGUGCUGCGUCGUCUGGCGCCCACCCCCCACUCUCACCCCUGCCGUUGCCUCUCCCGUCUGCCUCGGCGCCGCCCUUCUCAGUCUCUCGCUCUUGUCCCUUCUCGCCCAUGAAGUACAGUAUCCCCCUCGUUCUCUACGUGGUGCUCCAGUUCGUGGCGUUCCUCUUUGUGUUGGUGGGAACUCCGCUAGACGUGUUUCUCGAACGACAUCCUCCUCCCAAUGUCAAGCCCGCUUGCGUAACACUAUGGGGUUUCAAGGAGGUCUGCCAAGCGGUUUUUUAUACAAGCCGACUUUCUGCUUCUUCAGCGUGUCCUUCGCGUUUGCGCCGCUUUCGCGCUGCACAGGUGUUUGUUAUCAUAUCUAUAAUGCUGUACAUGGCCGCGUUCAUCGUAGGCCUUAUUUUGCUGUUCUGUUGCCCUCUGCUCCGCCGUGUCUGCCUGGCGCUCAACGUCGUCGGAACUGUCACUUUGUGCAUCGUGUGGGGAUUGAUUGCGUGGAUGUACAACAUGGAUGAUUCCACACUUUGUCGAAGGUUUAAGGACGGCACCAGGUACGGUGCCGGCUUCGUGCUCUUUGUGCUGGCCUGGAUACUGGAUGUCAUCAACAUUUUCUUGCUGCUCCUUCCCUAUGACGGCGUGGACGCUGGAGCGAAUCGAAGGGCAGAGCUGCCGAUCGCGAAGGAGUAGAAUGGAGGUAGUAGGAGGAGACGGAGGGCGAGCUUGACAGUGGCGCGGCCCCUCCCCCACACCGGCGUCCUCGUGGUGGAGCCGGUGUCGGCGAGGAUGUGGGUGCGCAAGCUGCGGGUUCCCGUGUGUGCCCUUCGCCGGCCCAGCCCUCUCGCUGCCCUGUCCUUCGUGCAUGCGUGUGCGGCACGCCGUGCACCGGGACAGCUGCCGAGGGGUGGUUGCGGCACUUCCUCCAGGAGUGCUGAUGGCACACGGCGCCUGUAUGCGUGUGUGUCUGUGUGCAGGCGCCCCCUGCGACCCUCCUCCCUCUUCUUCCGUGAGCGGCCCCCGCGACCGCGCCCCUCCCUCGCUUACGCUGCCGUUGCUCGCGCGUCUCUGUUUUCGUGCGUUGUUCGCGGGUGCCGCCGCACGCUCUCGCGCUCCUUGACGCUCGUUUCUCUUUCGGGUUCUGCGAUGCUUGCUGUUCUCUCCUCCGCGCAG
rnacentral:misc_RNA from 1 species